ACCCAAGUGAGAUUAGCUUGUUGGUGAGGUAACGGCUCACCAAGGCGACGAUCUCUAACUGGUCUGAGAGGAUGACCAGUCACACUGGGACUGAGACACGGCCCAGACUCCUACGGGAGGCAGCAGUGGGGAAUAUUGCACAAUGGGGGAAACCCCGAUGCAGCCAUGCCGCGUGUGUGAAGAAGGCCUUCGGGUUGUAAAGCACUUUCAGUGGUGAGGAAAGGUAAGGGGUUAAUAACUCCUUGCUGUGACGUUAACCACAGAAGAAGCACCGGCUAACUCCGUGCCAGCAGCCGCGGUAAUACAGAGGGUGCAAGCGUUAAUCGGAAUUACUGGGCGUAAAGGGAGCGUAGGUGGCUCUAUAAGUCAGAUGUGAAAUCCCCGGGCUUAACCUGGGAACUGCAUCUGAAACUGUAGAGCUAGAGUAUGUGAGAGGAAGGUAGAAUUCCAGGUGUAGCGG
rnacentral:rRNA from 1 species